rnacentral:rRNA from 1 species
CCUANGGGAGGCAGCAAUUAGGAAUCUUUCACAAUGGGGGCAACCCUGAUGGAGCAACGCCGCGUGCAGGAGGAAGGCCCUCGGGUCGUAAACUGCUUUUACGAGUGAAGAUUAUGACGGUAGCUCGUGAAUAAGGAUCGGCUAACUCCGUGCCAGCAGCCGCGGUCAUACGGAGGAUCCAAGCGUUAUCCGGAAUUACUGGGCGUAAAGAGUUGCGUAGGUGACAAUAUAAGCAAAUAGUGAAAGCGUGUGGCUCAACCGCAUAUCCAUUAUUUGAACUGUAUAGCUUGAGUAUGGGAGAGGUAGAUGGAAUUUCUAGUGUAGGAGUGAAAUCCGUAGAUAUUAGAAGGAACACCGAUGGCGUAGGCAGUCUACUGGCCCAUUACUGACACUAAGGCACGAAAGCGUGGGGAGCGAACGGGAUUAGAUACCCUGNUANUC